rnacentral:rRNA from 1 species
GUGAGGAAUAUUGGACAAUGGGCGCAAGCCUGAUCCAGCCAUGCCGCGUGCAGGAAGACGCAUCUAUGGUGUGUAAACUGCUUUUGUACGGGAAGAAACACUCCCUCGUGAGGGAGCUUGACGGUACCGUAAGAAUAAGGAUCGGCUAACUCCGUGCCAGCAGCCGCGGUAAUACGGAGGAUCCAAGCGUUAUCCGGAAUCAUUGGGUUUAAAGGGUCCGUAGGCGGUUCAAUAAGUCAGUGGUGAAAGCCCAUCGCUCAACGAUGGAACGGCCAUUGAUACUGUUAGACUUGAAUUACAAGGAAGUAACUAGAAUAUGUAGUGUAGCGGUGAAAUGCUUAGAUAUUACAUGGAAUACCAAUUGCGAAGGCAGGUUACUACUUGUGGAUUGACGCUGAUGGACGAAAGCGUGGGGAGCGAACAGGAUUAGAUACCCCGGUAGUCC